ACACACAGCAGCUCAGGGAAGGGAAAGGGCUCUCUCCGCUUUACGGCUGCUGAAAACCCUCCCUCCCCAGCCAGCUCAGUGCAGCCGCGCCGCGCCGCGCCCGGGCUCGCUCCUCUCCAAGAUUUCUCAGCUGGACAUUGGAAAUAGCUUUUGAUGGUUCUGGGCUUCUUUCAUUUGACCCAGGCAGAUUAAUCUAGAGAUCUGCACUCAAGACUAGAAAUAUGCCUUCAUGAAAAGGUGUCUUGCAGUGACCCUUGCUGUCUUGGCUUUAAGGAGUUCCUUGCUUCAUUGCCAUAUACCAACGGACUGAAAACUAGAAACCUUACAAUAGAUGAAACAAAAUAGAAGAUUGAGUGCUUCAG
rnacentral:lncRNA from 1 species